CAGCCCUUGACAUGUGACUCGCCGGCUCCAGAGACGGAGCCUUCGGUUCGGCCGGAGUCAACACAGGUGCUGCAUGGCUGUCGUCAGCUCGUGUCGUGAGAUGUUGGGUUAAGUCCCGCAACGAGCGCAACCCUCGUCUCCAGUUGCCAUCAGGUUAUGCUGGGCACUUUGGAGAAACUGCCGGUGACAAGCCGGAGGAAGGUGGGGAUGACGUCAAGUCCUCAUGGCCCUUACGGGCUGGGCUACACACGUGCUACAAUGGCGGUGACAAUGGGAUGCGAUGGCGCGAGCCGGAGCCGAUCCUAAAAAACCGUCUCAGUUCGGAUUGCACUCUGCAACUCGAGUGCAUGAAGUUGGAAUCGCUAGUAAUCGAGGAUCAGCAUGCCUCGGUGAAUACGUUCCC
rnacentral:rRNA from 1 species